rnacentral:rRNA from 1 species
UACAUAGGGGGCAAGCGUUGUCCGGAAUGACUGGGUGUAAAGGGUGUGUAGGUGGCUUAUUAAGUUGGAAGUGAAAGCCCGGGGCUUAACUCCGGAACUGCUUUCAAAACUGGUUGGCUUGAGUGUGGGAGAGGUUAGUGGAACUCCUAGUGUAGCGGUGGAAUGCGUAGAUAUUAGGAAGAACAUCAGAGGCGAAGGCGACUAACUGGAACAUUACUGACACUGAAACACGAAAGGGUGGGUAGCAAACAGG